GAUGAAGAACGCAGCGAAAUGCGAUAAGUAGUGUGAAUUGCAGAAUUCAGUGAAUCAUCGAAUCUUUGAACGCACAUUGCGCCCUUUGGUAUUCCUUAGGGCAUGCCUGUUCGAGCGUCAUUUAAACCUUCAAGCUCAGCUUGGUGAUGGGCGACUGUCCCCCCCCCUCGCGGGGGGGACUCGCCUCAAAAACAUUGGCGGCCGGUACAUUGGCUUCGAGCGCAGCAGAAACGCGGUCUCGAGCCCGGUGGAUCGGCUCCCAUAAGCCUAUUCUUUUAUUUUGACCUCGGAUCAGGUAGGGAUACCCGCUGAACUUAAGCAUAUCAAUAAGCGGAGGA
rnacentral:misc_RNA from 1 species